rnacentral:rRNA from 1 species
AGAGCGAACGCUGGCGGCGUGCUUAACACAUGCAAGUCGAGUGCGCAGUAUCCUGUAGCAAUACAGGAUACCGGCGCACGGCGCACGGGUGAGUAACACGUGAAUAAUCUACCUCCGAGUGGGGAAUAACUGAGAGAAAUCUUAGCUAAUACCGCAUAAUACCCACGGGUCAAAGCAGCAAUGCGCUUGGAGAGGAGUUCGCGGCCGAUUAGUUAGUUGGCGGGGUAAUGGCCCACCAAGACGAUGAUCGGUA